UGCGUCUCACGCUCUGUGGAACUUGCC
rnacentral:piRNA from 1 species